GAUGAACGCUGGCGGCGUGCCUAAUACAUGCAAGUCGAGCGAACAGACGAGGAGCUUGCUCCUCUGACGUUAGCGGCGGACGGGCGAGUAACACGUGGAUAACCUACCUAUAAGACUGGGAUAACUUCGGGAAAACGGAGCUAAUACCGGAUAAUAUAUUGAACCGCAUGGUUCAAUAGUGAAAGACGGUUUUGCUGUCACUAAUAGAUGGAUCCGCGCCGCAUUAGCUAGUUGGUAAGGUAACGGCUUACCAAGGCAACGAUGCGUAGCCGACCUGAGAGGGUGAUCGGCCACACUGGAACUGAGACACGGUCCAGACUCCUACGGGAGGCAGCAGUAGGGAAUCUUCCGCAAUGGGCGAAAGCCUGACGGAGCAACGCCGCGUGAGUGAUGAAGGUCUUCGGAUCGUAAAACUCUGUUAUUAGGGAAGAACAAAUGUGUAAGUAACUAUGCACGUCUUGACGGUACCUAAUCAGAAAGCCACGGCUAACUACGUG
rnacentral:rRNA from 1 species